CCUACGGGAGGCAGCAGUGGGGGAUAUUGCACAAUGGGGGGAAGCCUGAUGCAGCGACGCCGCGUGGGUGAAGGAGUAUUUCGGUAUGUAAAGCCCUAUCGGCAGGGAAGAAUUUAGACGGUACCUGACUAAGAAGCCCCGGCUAACUACGUGCCAGCAGCCGCGGUAAUACGUAGGGGGCAAGCGUUAUCCGGAUUCACUGGGUGUAAAGGGAGCGUAGACGGCCAGGCAAGCCUGGAGUGAAAGCCCGGGGCCCAACCCCGGGACUGCUCUGGGAACUGUCCGGCUGGAGUGCGGGAGGGGCAGGCGGAAUUCCUGGUGUAGCGGUGAAAGGCGUAGAUAUCAGGAGGAACACCGGCGGCGAAGGCGGCCUGCUGGACCGCGACUGACGUUGAGGCUCGAAAGCGUGGGGAGCGAACAGGAUUAGAUACCCCUGUC
rnacentral:rRNA from 1 species